CAACCACACCCUCUUCUCCCUCACACCUCCUGCUAUCAUAACCCAACCCAAACCUCACCAUAAACGAACCCUCAUGGUCCCCCCUUCCUCUCCUUUCUCUCUUUCACGUUAUCAAGACCAUAACGACCUCUGUCAGAAGAAGAUAUUCCAUUUUACCCGUUUCUACGCGCUCUUGCUUCCCUUGGUUAGAAUUCGGAUUAAUGGUAGACGUAGGAUUUGAAGACUUUAAAUCCUAGUUUUUCAUUUGUCUUAGAACCAUCCAUAAAGAAGAACAAGAGGGGAUUUUCAUUUGGGGGCAGGGAAUUUUCGGAAUUUAUUGAAGGGCAAAUUCGGGUUUUUGGGGGGAAUUUCUUGUUGAAGAAGGAGAAGCUUCGAGAGGGAGCUAUAUAUUUGGGUCUGGACAGAGAUGGGGGAGGUUUUUAUUUCGGAGAAAAUUAGGAAAAGAAGAAGGGCGAGGGUUUUCUGAUUUUCAUGUUCUUCUUUCCAAUUUUCACUUCAUUGGCGUACAAAAAGCUUAGAGCUCUCUAUUAGUCUUUCUUUUGAUUUUCAAAACAGAAAAUACCAAAAAAAAAUAUCAGCUUCUGAUUUGUUUAACAAGAAAUGGAGUUUAGCUGAGGUCCGUCAACUGCUCGAGAGGUAUUUGUUCGUGGUUCCUACCGCUGCUGUGUCGCUGGUUCGAUUCCUGUUUGUCUGCUACUAUUACUUCAAAUUUCAGUGCCGAGUUCACUUGUAUUCAAUUUCAAACGAACUUAAUUGAAGAAUUUUGCAAUUUCAGAUGGCCGAAUGGUUUUAUCAAUUGCCCUUUCACGUUGGUUUGUUCCAAUAGAAAACCAUGUUCUUAUGUUCUGUUGAUGAGUCGGCGUCAUGCGGGUGUUACAUAAGUUUCAAUUGAAUUUAAGACAGGGUCCUUCAUUUAAAUGGUGUUAGUUGGGGUGCUGUGAGUGAGAUCAACAAGACGUAGGUGGCUCUUAUCAUAUUUCAAGCAUACCAACUCUUCUUUAUUCUAUUUUGUUACUAUCUUCUUUAUUAGUUUAUUGCC